UGAUUUGAGACACAUAAUUGCCCGACUUGUUCUCAAGGUACGAGGUCGCAUCGGAGAGUCCAAACACAAGCAUGACGUGCAUGAACCAAAGGUCGAUAUUUGGUGUUACUACCCCGAGGUUGAAAUCUCCUUUUUGUUUUGUUCUCCACUUAGGGUAUUUCAAUUCCUUUGAAGGUUUCGCCCGCCGCCAUGUCCUCUCAGCAACUAUCAACGAGCCCGCCGUUGAACUCUGGAGGAUCACCAACCACUGGGGCAAAAGAGUCCCUGAUGCCUCCGGCAUGCAAAUACAGAGAUCGCUCCCCUUCGCCCAUACGAGGCUUCAACAUCCCCAGCCCCAUGCCCACGCGCAGGAACAGGACCUGCUCAGCGUGAGAGUGCACACACACACAUCAUUUGCUUGGUUUAUAGUAAGACCUGACUGAUCGUUUUUCUUUAAUUGUUUUUUUUUU